UCACGAUGGGAACAUCCAAACGACUGGAGUUGAAGUCCUUCACGAUAAAAGUUUUGUGUCUUUCACCAGGCCGGAACCGCGGCUACAGGAUUCCAAACCUGGGGGGGCCUACAGGACCUCUUAGCCCCGGGGCCUACCAGGAGGUUAAGCAGGCCCUGUGCAAGCCAAGCAGAGAGAUGGAAGCCACACACACUGGUGCCAUCUUGCUCCCAGUACCUGUUACAGAAUGAUGUAAUCAUUGUCAGGAGGAUCUAAACAGAGCCGGAAGCCGAGGUUUUUCUAAAACAGGAGUGACCUAAACUGUGGAGGGUGAGCAGCUUGAACACCACAGGUCAACAAGGCUCAACAAAGAGGAGACUAAGGGAGUUUGUCAUGUCGACAAAGAUCCUCAGGAAGUUUCACAGCUGUGCUGCAGAGAGCAACCUGACCAGCUGCAUCACAGCCUGGUUCUGGAGGAAAUGAGGCCUGAGACAAACAUCUGCUGAGUCUGUGAGCUUCAGCUGAGACGUCCUCCACCUGCAGAGUCCACAGGUCUGGAUUUAAACACGGACAGAACCUUCACUUCGUCAGUAUAAGACCCUCCUCAGUCCUGACGCUGAAGAAAAGCUACAGAAAUCAACACAAACUCCGGUAAAAACACAAAAACUUCCUGCAGUAAGUGAAGCUGUUUCUACAAACUGUUUUUAACCUGAGCUGAGCUCGACACAGCUGGAGUGAAGAAAACUGUCUAAAUAACCAUCUUCAUGGUGUGAUGAAGACAAACAGCACAACUUCAUCACUUUACUUCCUGCAGCUCAGAGAGAAAAACACAGCAGCUGAAACACAAACGUAAAGUUUCUCUGAGGAGUUUUUUAUAUUUCUCAUCAAAAUGUUUAGUUUUUAAUAAAAACUUGAGUUCUGAUCAUUAAAAUAUAAACUUUUCU